rnacentral:guide_RNA from 1 species
AUAUAAAACCAUACAGUAGAGAACCGUGUAAGUGAAUAUCUGAUAAU